UACGAAGGGGGCUAGCGUUGUUCGGAAUUACUGGGCGUAAAGGGCGCGUAGGCGGCGUGUCAAGUCAGGCGUGAAAGCCCCGGGCUCAACCUGGGAACCGCGCUUGAGACUGGCAUGCUCGAGUUCGGGAGAGGAUGGUGGAAUUCCCAGUGUAGAGGUGAAAUUCGUAGAUAUUGGGAAGAACACCGAUGGCGAAGGCAGCCAUCUGGACCGACAUUGACGCUGAGGAGCGAAAGCUAGGGGAGCAAACGGG
rnacentral:rRNA from 1 species